rnacentral:rRNA from 1 species
GAUGAACGCUGGCGGCGUGCUUAACACAUGCAAGUCGAACGGUGAAGCCAAGCUUGCUUGGUGGAUCAGUGGCGAACGGGUGAGUAACACGUGAGCAACCUGCCCUGGACUCUGGGAUAAGCGCUGGAAACGGUGUCUAAUACUGGAUAUGAGCCUCUUCCGCAUGGUGGGGGUUGGAAAGAUUUUUCGGUCUGGGAUGGGCUCGCGGCCUAUCAGCUUGUUGGUGAGGUAAUGGCUCACCAAGGCGUCGACGGGUAGCCGGCCUGAGAGGGUGACCGGCCACACUGGGACUGAGACACGGCCCAGACUCCUACGGGAGGCAGCAGUGGGGAAUAUUGCACAAUGGGCGGAAGCCUGAUGCAGCAACGCCGCGUGAGGGAUGACGGCCUUCGGGUUGUAAACCUCUUUUAGCAGGGAAGAAGCGGAAGUGACGGUACCUGCAGAAAAAGCGCCGGCUAACUACGUGCCAGCAGCCGCCGUAA